AGAGUUUGAUCCUGGCUCAGAUUGAACGCUGGCGGCAUGCCUAACACAUGCAAGUCGAACGCGAAAGGGCUUCGGCCUGAGUAGAGUGGCGGACGGGUGAGUAAUGCGUGGGAAUCUGCCCUGUAGUGGGGGACAACCCGGGGAAACUCGGGCUAAUACCGCAUACGUCCUACGGGAGAAAGGGGGCCUCUGCUUGCAAGCUCUCGCUAUGGGAUGAGCCCACGUCCGAUUAGCUAGUUGGUAGGGUAAAGGCCUACCAAGGCGACGAUCGGUAGCUGGUCUGAGAGGAUGAUCAGCCACACUGGGACUGAGACACGGCCCAGACUCCUACGGGAGGCAGCAGUGGGGAAUAUUGGACAAUGGGCGAAAGCCUGAUCCAGCAAUGCCGCGUGUGUGAAGAAGGCCUGCGGGUUGUAAAGCACUUUCAGUGGGGAAGAAAAGUCUGGGGC
rnacentral:rRNA from 1 species